rnacentral:ncRNA from 1 species
ACGUAACUCAGAUGCUGUGAAGCCCGAGGCGCGUUGUGCGGCUCGCCGAUGCCUUGGGGGGAGCAAAUCGCGAAACCGGCUGAGCGAGGC